UGGUAGUAGAGGAGAGGAACCGGCGGAGAGUUCGAAGGUAGUAUGGACAGGUACAGCGAAGGAUGACCGAUCAUUCAUCUUGAAUCCAGAGUUGAAACAUGGCAGAGGAGAGCUUCGGAUUUGAUUGUCUGAAGCUCUGUGUCCUAUUCCGUAUCUGACGACCGAUGAGCUUGCUGAGAGCAUCAACCGACCUAAAGGAGUUAGCGUGGAGGCGAGAGUUCCGUUUGUUCCAUAGCCAGUAGAGAGUAGCUUGCCAAGCAAGAAGAGUAAGGAGCCUUUGCGGUCGCCGUGAUUUCUGCCUUGGCAGCGAUUGCAUCUGCCGCAGUGUUUGAUCCCAUUGUCUGAGUGGUUGCAGGGAGCAUUGCCUGGCGAUAAGUUCCCAUAGAUCAUAGCUAAAAGGGCAGAGGAAGUAGAUGUGAUCACGAGAUUCGUUGGCACUGUUGCAUAGGAGACAGAGCGGAGAGACAGGGAGGCCCCAAUUUAGAAGCCUAUCUCUCGUCGGACACCUAUCAAGCACAACCAGCCAAGAGUGAAAUUGUUGCCUAGGGAUCCCAUAAGAGAACCAAAUCGCUGGAGCCCAUGAGACCUCAUCAAUCACACCUCGCAAAUAGGUAUACAUUUCACCCGUGGAGUACCUCGCUUUGACUGCACCCGCAAUCUCCCAUUCAUAAUAGUCUGGAUUGACUGUGAGAGUGAUCGUUGUUAGGUACGCAUGGAGGAGUAGUUGAGGUUCUGAUCUCGCUGCAGGGAGGUGCCAUGCUCCUCUUCUAUAAAGCGACGCCACCAUUGCCUUGUCUGAGAUUCCUAGUCUUGAAACAUAGUUGUUCAGCGCUUGCGCCAGACUCCCAAAAGGUGACCAGUUGUCGUGCCAGAACCGAGCUGCCCUUCCAUCUUCCAGUCGAAGUUUGAUCAACGGGAAGACCACCGUUUUAAGCUUAAGAAGCUUGUUUGCCAACCAUGAGUAUGAGGAGCUCGGCUUCGUGGUCCAGUAGUUAUGAAUAGAACCUUUGAGAACUCUAUCUCUGAACCAAGCCACCCACACCGAUCCAGCUUUGAAGAAGAGCAACCAAAUGAGUCUAAUACAGCAAGCAAGGUUCCAAGUUUGAAGAUCUUUAAUUCCCAGCCCUCCCUGCUCCUUAAGCACCAGAAGGUUGUUAUGCCUGAGAUUACAGUCUUGAUCAGGAGCAAGCGACCAGCAAAUGAAAGAGUCUUUACCGUCCAUGAAGAGAGGCGCUUUUUUAUUUGAUGAAGCAAUGGCUCACAGGUGACAGCGUUCAGUUUCUUUGAGUUUAGGGGAACACCAAGAUAGCGGACCGGCAGCGUUCCACAUACUAUUCCAGUUGAGGCUUGAAUCGUGUAUAUCUCGGCGUCCGAUAGUCCUGAGGCAUAGAAGCUUGUCUUCUGCAAACUGACCUUGAGUCCCGACCUUUGCUCAAACUCAUGGAAAAUAUUUUUAUGUGUUUGGCUAAAUGAAGUUAAAUAGAAAUUUUUUAUUUACUAAUAUUUUUACAAUAUUAGUAAUGAUCAAUAUAUCAA